CGCGGGGUGGAGCAGUUGGCAGCUCGUCGGGCUCAUAACCCGAAGGUCACAGGUUCGAGUCCUGUCUCCGCAA
rnacentral:tRNA from 1 species